GGGGUUGUGGCUCAAUGGUAGACCACUCGCCUAGUAUGUGCGAGGCCCUGAGUUCAAUCCUCAGCACCACA
rnacentral:tRNA from 1 species